rnacentral:SRP_RNA from 1 species
GCCGGGGACCUUUUGGAGUAGAGCGGCUUGAACCAGGUCAGAGCAGGAAUGCAGCAGCCUUAAGAGUUUAGCUCUAUGCUAGAAGUCAUCUCCGGUAUU